GCAUCACAAAUAAUCUUUCCAUACCACGCAUACAAAUAAAUGUUUCUCAUCACACUUCACACAUUAUUACUCAUGACCAAAGAACAAGCACAAGCAUAUUGUCCCUAUGAGAUCACAAAAACCACUACACAUGAUAUCUCUCUGACCAAGAACAAAGCUAGCCUAGAAACACAUUAAACAAAAACCACAAUACUCACAAACUAGCACA
rnacentral:lncRNA from 1 species